CCUACGGGUGGCUGCAGUGGGGAAUAUUGCACAAUGGGGGGAACCCUGAUGCAGCGACGCCGCGUGAGCGAGGAAGUAUUUCGGUAUGUAAAGCUCUAUCAGCAGGGACGAAAAAAGACGGUACCUGACUAAGAAGCCCCGGCUAACUACGUGCCAGCAGCCGCGGUAAUACGGAGGGGGCAAGCGUUACCCGGAUGUACUGGGGGGAAAGGGAGCGUAGACGGCAAGGCAAGCCAGAAGUGAAAGGGCAGGGCUCAACCCUGUACAUGCUUUUGGAACUGUGGUGCUAGGGUGCAGGGGGGGUAAGUGGAAUUCCUGGUGUAGCGGUGAAAUGCGUAGAUAUUAGGAGGAACACCAGUGGCGAGGGCGGCUUACUGGACUGUAACUGACGUUGAGGCUCGAAAGCGUGGGGAGCAAACAGGAUUAGAUACCCGGUAGUC
rnacentral:rRNA from 1 species